CUCAAUUGCCCGUGUGCAUGAGAAUCAGGUGGAAGAAACAUAAACACGGCUGCAGAGAUUUUGUCUGCAAAGAUGGAUUUAAAAUUACUGAAGACAGCAUGAAGACACUUAGGGGGCAACAGUGGCCCUUGUUGUCUAUAGAUUUGGUUAUUUUCCAUUGAUUGCUUUUCAUUUUUUUGGUUAUACGGUCACCCCCACAUUUGACAACUGCUCUGAGUGAAGUGAAGCUGCACUGCUUGCAGCAGGCAGUAGUAUUUCUCGCAGCAAAUGGGCGUAGCUGCUGGAGAUGCCUCCCUUCCCUUCCUUCACAGGAUUCAUUUCCACUCAGGCACAUUGCUAUCAGCUCGAGUUUGUGUCCGUCUGAUUUUUCUGAGUAUCAGUGGGAGAAGAGAAAUGGUGCAGGCAGUUUUGCACGUGGAUAUGUAAACACCGUGUGCGUUUGGCAAAAACGACACAGAGACAAAACAACCAAAGAAGCACAUAACACCUGGCUGGCCUCCUGCUGUCCCGCCCUUGCACCACCGGGUCUGCUCGGGUUUUGGCAACGCUCAGGGUUGGCGGGAGCUGUCAGUGCGGGUAAUCCUAUUCUAGAGCGACCUCUCGUGUUAUUUUGGCUAACUUCUGUUCGUUUUGUUUGUCGCCCAGUUUCCAAGAAGACCAAGGAAACACCAAGGAGUUGUUCCGGAUGUGGGUUUUGCUCAGUGCAGCCGGCUCAGGCACAAUCCCUCCCAUUUGCUUGUUGCUCACUCAACGUGCUGCAGUGCACCGACUCCCUUUCUUCCUGAAAUCAUCCCAACAGCGCUAGCGAGAGGAUUUCCCCCCUCUUUUAAAUUAAUUUUCAUGUAUAUUCACUUCUGUUCGGAGUCUUCACCUUUCAGUGAAAUGACCAGAUGUCUCAGAAAGCCUGGAGCGAUGCUGGCAUCAGGAGACUUCGCCCCCAUCCUGAGUGACUGCCGACUGAGAUGCCAAUAUGUUCUGGGCUGAGGCAGGACUUCCUUUGGGUAGCAAUAGAAUGCAGUGACCUGCUGCGUCCCUCAUGCACUAAGGUUCCUGUUUGGAAAGACAUACCCGAUUUCAAGUAUCUGGACGCACCAGAGAUCUCCUCAAAGAAGAUUUCUGGUGGAUCCUCAAUAAAAUCCUCCACGAGACUCCUUUUGUGUUGAAGAAAUAAUGCUUUUCAUCCAGAACGAGGGAAUCCUGCAGAUGAACAGCUUACCCCUAGAGGUCACUGCGAUCCAGGGAUUUUAGACAGAAUUCACCUUCAGAGGGCGAAGAAGACUUCUGGGUUUCUUCAGUGCAAAUUCUUCAUAGGAGUGAAUUUUACUGUGCUGGUCGAUUUGGGCUGCAUUUGAUUUAGUUCUCUGUCAUGAUUUACCAAGAUCUCUAUAUUUUCCAUCAUAUGAUGUGAUAAUUUUUUUGAGUUAACUCUCCCAUUUCAGUGCAGAUCUCUGGUAGCUGUCAGUGGUAGGUAUAUGCUGGAAGCAAGCUGGUUCAGAAGCAUCAUGGCGCUUGAUGAACUACAGUCUAGCAUUUUGAUUUUGAAGGGGAAUAGAGUGGGUGGGUAUCAAAAUGUCCCAAUUGCAGAAAGUCUUUUUCAGGAUUUUCCAAGUCUGCUGUGAAUUUUGAAACGCCUGUGAAAUGUGAUCUUCUUUGUCUCAAAUCUAGGAAAACAGAUAUAUUUCAAAACAUGAAAAAAAAUUACUAAAAAAAAGACUCUUUUCUGACUCCCACUUUUCACAAUAUUUUGAUCAUAUUCUGCCUGCUGCCCACUGAAUUUUCCCUAAGCAAGUUCUACUGUAACGCAAGUACAUGUAGUCAGAGUAAGUGAAAGAACAGUUGGACGAAACUUCCUCCAUAACAAAAAAACCCUAAAACUUGGAAAAAGAUCCAUGGCUAGAAAUAAGUGGAGCUGGAUAGUCCACGGUCCCUUCUGUAUAACAUCCACCAUAACUGAAUAGUGCAGAAUUCCACCUUUGCAUCAUAUGGCAAAAUAUGCAAAUUUCUAUGAAUAAUGGAUUUAAUCCUAUUAGAAAAGAGAUUAAAAGUAGUUAAACAUGUCAACCUUGAUUCUGUUCUAUGACUUGUUAGCAGAGACAGAAGUAUAUGCUUAUCCAGUUGAUGAACUGUUGUGGCAUCGGCAGCCACAGCUCUCCCUUGGGAACCUGCCAUGUUUGCAAAACCUGGCUGUUAUGUUUUUCCUUAUCUCAAAUGACUUUCAAUAUUGCAUCGGCUAUCUAAUGCUAUACAUUCAUGUGAUAAUCCUAUGGUCAAGUGUUUUGGACUGGCCAAGCCCUUGGAGGAGAAAACAGAAAGGAUGUGGUGCACUUUUUGUGCUUUGCUUUGCAACUGCUUCUUGGUAAAUCCUUUAGCGAGACACAAACUGUCUUAAUUUCCCAAUUGCACAAGAUUCAUCAUAGCUAUGCCAGUAAGCAUUGUAUAUAUGGUGUGAGAAUAACCAAUGACUAACAAAAGUUUAAAGAUCCUGUUAGGAGAGCAUAAAAAUUAUCAAAAUUGCAGGCACUGAAUUCCCAAAAUAUCUACUGUCUGACCAAAUAGUUGAAAUAUCAGAGUGGUGUUAAAAAAGGGCAUACUGUGAAGCACUGUACAGUAAUAUGGAAAAGCAGAAGAAAUGCUACUGCCAUAGUUCACUACAUAAAGAUACAAAUACACAAACAGAACGUUUAUAUGUUCCCAAAAUGAGUAGUAUAUGUUAGUGGAGGGUAGGAUACGUGGAUAACACCUAAAGGACUUAGCUGAGGGAUAAAAAGAGAUGGUAAUAUACAGCUCUGAUCACCUUCUGUUUCUUGCCAGAAAAGGAAAAGGGAAAAAAUGUUAUUUUUACAGGUCAAGUGAGGCAAAUUGAAUGUAGGACCUCCUCUGAUUAAGGAUUUGCAGGCAGCUCUAGCACAGAGAAUGUGAGGUGCUCAGGUGGCUACUGUGAAAGUACUCACUCUGAAAAGGCUGCAGCUGCCCUCAUGAGCUCCCCUCUGUCAUGUGAGGUGACAUCAGCACUGGGGAGAGUGGAAAAAUUAAAAAAUGUGUGUAUUGGCACAUAGUAUGUGUGAACUGUGAACCUACACGAGUAAUUUGAUAACGCAUGAAUUUAUCCCCAGAAUCAAAUAUCUAAGUAUGAAGAAGUUGUUUUAUCCU